CUACGGGGGGCUCCAGUGGGGAAUAUUGCACAAUGGGCGCAAGCCUGAUGCAGCCAUGCCGCGUGUAUGAAGAAGGCCUUCGGGUUGUAAAGUACUUUCAGCGGGGAGGAAGGGAGUAAAGUUAAUACCUUUGCUCAUUGACGUUACCCGCAGAAGAAGCACCGGCUAACUCCGUGCCAGCAGCCGCGGUAAUACGGAGGGUGCAAGCGUUAAUCGGAAUUACUGGGCGUAAAGCGCACGCAGGCGGUUUGUUAAGUCAGAUGUGAAAUCCCCGGGCUCAACCUGGGAACUGCAUCUGAUACUGGUAAGCUAGAGUCUCGUAGAGGGGGGUAGAAUUCCAGGUGUAGCGGUGAAAUGCGUAGAGAUCUGGAGGAAUACCGGUGGCGAAGGCGGCCCCCUGGACGAAGACUGACGCUCAGGUGCGAAAGCGUGGGGAGCAAACAGGAUUAGAUACCCGAGUAGUC
rnacentral:rRNA from 1 species